rnacentral:rRNA from 1 species
UACGUAGGGGGCAAGCGUUGUCCGGAAUUAUUGGGCGUAAAGAGCUCGUAGGCGGCUUGUCACGUCGGGUGUGAAAGCCCGGGGCUUAACCCCGGGUCUGCAUUCGAUACGGGCUAGCUAGAGUGUGGUAGGGGAGAUCGGAAUUCCUGGUGUAGCGGUGAAAUGCGCAGAUAUCAGGAGGAACACCGGUGGCGAAGGCGGAUCUCUGGGCCAUUAGUGACGCUGAGGAGCGAAAGCGUGGGGAGCGAACAGG